UGCUCCUUAACCUUGGGAAUCAUUUCUUCUUGGCAAGCAAUUCAAAUUACCAUGAAACGUUUGUAGCUGACGGAGGCGGAAGUAACUCAAGAUGAGUCACUGGUAACUCCCUACAACUUCUUAAGAAAUGAUGGAGAGUUAAAGUGGGGAACAGGAACAAGCAGCAUCUCAAGAAAACGUAGACCCACUAAAUGACCAUGAUGACGCUUCCAUAAGUGACAUGGAGGUCAGAAUUCAACGUCUGGAAUCUGAACUCCCCAAAGUGAAAACUUCUGGAGAUUCUUUUAAAAUAGAAUUGGAAGAAUGGAAGCGCCUCUACCUAGAGGAAUUAAAACUUACAACAUCCUUGGAAAACAAACUAAACAAGACUAAUGACAGGCUGGCAGAGAUGAGAACCCAGCUUCUCAUGAAGGCACCACGGAACACUUCACUCAGCACCGAUCGUAGGAGGCCGGUCCAGCUGCCACCUUGCAUUGGAAGGCUAAAUGAUUGGUUCCUACCUCGAGGAAAUCUCGCUCCAAGAGAACAGUUGGUGAUUCUUACGUCAACCCCACAGACUUCUAAUAAUGGCACGUUGACCAACUAGAUGAAGGAGCAGCAGGAGUUGGUGGAAAGCAUAACUAGAGAGGUAGAAGAAGCUGAUGCUGAACUUGAAUCUGAAUACCGUCCACUUUGCUCUAAUAUCUAGUGAUGAUCUAGUUUUGAAUACAUCACAAGUAUAUAGUUUUUGAAUAAGAAGUAUAUGAUCUAAAAUAUAAAUAGUACAAAUUUACUGGGCUGUUUACAUAGCAUUUUCCUUCUUUCCCAUUAAACAUAUGGCAUGUGAAAAUCCUUAUUGAAGGAAAACAUUUUUGUUUCAUAUGUGUAUAUGAAAAUCUAUAUAGUAUUCAAACUGUGUUUCUUGGCAUCUAACUAGCUUUGCAGCAGAUUUUGUGGAUGAAAACAAGCAGUAUUAAGUUUUACAUUCUCAUACUGUCCAAAUACCAGCUGUUUACACAACACCCAAACAACCAAGUUGUCAUUAAUACUUCAGUGGUGUAAAUUAAUAGCUUUUUUUGAAUUUUCCAAUAUUUAUCACUGUGUAUGAACCUAAAGAUUUUGAUAUCUGCUGUUAUGGCUACAAUCAAUGUUUGGAUGUAUUACAAUUGUUAUAGUGCCAUAAAUCUGAUUAUAAUAAUAUGUAAUUUUAAACACUGAUUCAUAAAGCUGUCCUCUUAGAGAAAUAAAAUUUGUCUAAGGCUUUUCA